GGCCGGAUAAGGCGUUUACGCCGCAUCCGGCGGUUGUGCGCAGAUGCCUGAUGCGACGCUGACGCGUCUUAUCAUGCC
rnacentral:ncRNA from 1 species